rnacentral:rRNA from 1 species
CAUAGCGACUAUCGUGGCAUAUCAAUAAGCGGAGGAAAAGAAACUAACAAGGAUUCCCUAGUAACGGCGAGUGAAGCGGGAAGAGCUCAAACUUGAAAUCUUAAAGGGUUCUACCUUGACGAAUUGUAGUUUAUAGAAGUGUUUUCUGUUAGUAGAGUGGCAAAAGUUCUUUGGAAUAGGACAUCAUAGAGGGUGAGAAUCCCGUAUUUGGUCAUUCCUCCUAGCUUUGUGAUACACUUUCAACGAGUCGGAUUGUUUGGGAAUGCAGUCCAAAAUGGGUGGUAAAUUUCAUCUAAAGCUAAAUAUUGGCGAGAGACCGAUAGCGAACAAGUACCGUGAGGGAAAGAUGAAAAGAACUUUGAAAAGAGAGUUAAACAGUACGUGAAAUUGUCAAAAGGGAAGCGUUUGACACCAGUGUUGUUUUCUCGAAAAUCAAUUACGAAUGUUUUGUUUUUGAGGAGUUAUGACUUCAUCGGCUUGCUCCUUUCUUUAUGAAACUUUCUUAAUGCACUUUUCGGUUAACAAGUCUACAUCAAUUUCUUUUGUUGUAAAAGGGUAUGAGGAAGGUGGCUUUCUUUUCGGAGAAAGUGUUUAUAGCCUUGUGCCUCUGCAAUCGGAGAGAUUGAGGUUUGCAGCGUAGAUCCUUCGGGGUUAGAUACAGUUUGUGCUAAGUUAUAGCUUUUCAUAGACAACUUGUUGACUAUGAUUUAGUCAUUGUAGCUUACUCGCUUAUGCUAUUUUACCUACGCUUAGGAUGUUGACGAGACUGUCGAUCUC